UGGGGAAUAUUGCACAAUGGAGGGAACUCUGAUGCAGCGACGCCGCGUGAGUGAUGAAGGAAUUCGUUUCGUAAAACUCUGUUCUAUGGGAAGAAAAGGACUGUACCAUAGGAGAAAGCUCCGGCUAAAUACGUGCCAGCAGCCGCGGUAAUACGUAUGGAGCGAGCGUUGUCCGGAAUUAUUGGGCGUAAAGGGUGCGCAGGCGGCUUUACAAGUUGGAUGUGAAAUAUUGUGGCUCAACCACAAACGUGCAUCCAAAACUGCAAAGCUUGAGUUAAGGAGAGGUAAGUGCAAUUCCUGGUGUAGCGGUGGAAUGCGUAGAUAUCAGGAGGAAUACCGGUGGCGAAGGCGACUUACUGGACUUAAACUGACGCUCAGGCACGAAAGCGUGGGGAGCAAACAGG
rnacentral:rRNA from 1 species